AAAAAAAAGGUGAGAGAGUAAGACACCGGAGCUGCUGAACUAACAAAGUUGGAAACACAUCAGAAAGACAUGGACAUCGCCUCUGACGAACGGAGAUUUAAGUUGUGGUUUACUGCGCCAUGUGCUGAGACUUUGCUAAUGGACCGGCGGAUAGCUAGCUCAACUAGCGGGGACUACGUGUGGCGAAGGAGUAUCACUUGAAGCAUCCAAGCUCUGUCUGUGUUUUACAUCGACCCUUUUUUCUGUGACGCGUGCACAGUGUGCCAACAAACUUCAUACCAGGUACUAUUUUCCGUUUGUUGCCCUCGUGGUGAAGUAGCCCUUUUGUUUGGUUUCUACGAACCCCAGCUACGUACAGGCCUGCAACUGGUAUACUGAUUAAAGUUUCAUUUACUUUU